GAUGAACGCUGGCGGCGUGCCUAAUACAUGCAAGUCGAGCGAACGGACGAGAAGCUUGCUUUUCUGAUGUUAGCGGCGGACGGGUGAGUAACACGUGGAUAACCUACCUAUAAGACUGGGAUAACUUCGGGAAACCGGAGCUAAUACCGGAUAAUAUUUUGAACCGCAUGGUUCAAAAGUGAAAGACGGUCUUGCUGUCACUUAUAGAUGGAUCCGCGCUGCAUUAGCUAGUUGGUAAGGUAACGGCUUACCAAGGCAACGAUGCAUAGCCGACCUGAGAGGGUGAUCGGCCACACUGGAACUGAGACACGGUCCAGACUCCUACGGGAGGCAGCAGUAGGGAAUCUUCCGCAAUGGGCGAAAGCCUGACGGAGCAACGCCGCGUGAGUGAUGAAGGUCUUCGGAUCGUAAAACUCUGUUAUUAGGGAAGAACAUAUGUGUAAGUUACUGUGCACAUCUUGACGGUACCUAAUCAGAAAGCCACGGCUAACUACGUG
rnacentral:rRNA from 1 species